GCCAGUGUGGUGCAGUGGUUUGAACUUUGGACUAUGGCUCUGAAGACAAGGGUUCAAUUUCCAUUCAGUCA